rnacentral:lncRNA from 1 species
UCGGGGAUUAUAAGGUAUUGCUAUAAUUACAAAGAAAUCCCUCAAAAUCUGCCAAACUGUAGUUUGCAAAGUGUACCGGUACACGAAAAAGUGUACCCGUACAAACCCUUAAUAUGCACAAACCUGAGGCUCGGGUUGGUAGAAAAUCACAUCUGUACCGGUACAACCAUCAAGGUGUACCGGUACAAAAUCUAUUCCGUUACAACCAUCAAGGC